rnacentral:rRNA from 1 species
GUCUACGGCCAUGCUACCCUGAACAAGCAGGAUCCCGUCUGUUCCCAGAAGCUAAGCAGGGUUGGGCCUCAUUAGUACUUGGAUGGGAGACCACCAGGAAGACCAGGUGCUGUAGGCA